UACGAAGGGGGCUAGCGUUAUCCGGAUUCACUGGGUUUAAAGGGUGCGUAGGCGGGCAUGUAAGUCCGUGGUGAAAUCUCCGAGCUUAACUCGGAAACUGCCAUGGAUACUAUGUGUCUUGAAUGUUGUGGAGGUGAGCGGAAUAUGUCAUGUAGCGGUGAAAUGCUUAGAUAUGACAUAGAACACCAAUUGCGAAGGCAGCUCACUACACAAAUGUUGACGCUGAGGCACGAAAGCGUGGGGAUCAAACAGG
rnacentral:rRNA from 1 species